AGCACACUAACACCAGACAGAGAACCAGGUGGAGAGAUGGAAUUAUAACCUUUGCCGGGGCAGGAUGGAGCACACUAACACCAGACAGAGAACCAGGUGGAGAGGUGGAAUUAUAACCUUUGCCGGGGCAGGAUGGAGCACACUAACACCAGACAGAGAACCAGGUGGAGAGAUGGAAUUAUAACCUUUGCCGGGGCAGGAUGGAGCACACUAACACCAGACAGAGAACCAGGUGGAGAGAUGGAAUUAUAACCUUUGCCGGGGCAGGAUGGAGCACACUAACACCAGACAGAGAACCAGGUGGAGAGAUGGAAUUAUAACUUUUGUUGGGGCAGGAUGGAGCACACUAACACCAGACAGAGAACCAAGUGGAGAGAUGGAAUUAUAACUUUUGUUGGGGCAGGAUGGAGCACACUAACACCAGACAGAGAACCAAGUGGAGAGAUG